rnacentral:tRNA from 1 species
GGGGAUAUAGCUCAGUGGUAGAGUGAUUGCCUGGCAUGCAUGAGGCCCUGGGUUCAAUCCUCAGCACCA